rnacentral:rRNA from 1 species
AUGAGUGCUAAGUGUUAGGGGGUUUCCGCCCCUUAGUGCUGCAGCUAACGCAUUAAGCACUCCGCCUGGGGAGUACGGUCGCAAGACUGAAACUCAAAGGAAUUGACGGGGGCCCGCACAAGCGGUGGAGCAUGUGGUUUAAUUCGAAGCAACGCGAAGAACCUUACCAGGUCUUGACAUCCUCUGACAAUCCUAGAGAUAGGACGUCCCCUUCGGGGGCAGAGUGACAGGUGGUGCAUGGUUGUCGUCAGCUCGUGCCGA